UACGUAGGGUGCGAGCGUUAAUCGGAAUUACUGGGCGUAAAGCGUGCGCAGGCGGUUCGUUGUGUCGGCGGUGAAAGCCCCGGGCUCAACCUGGGAAUGGCCGUUGAAACUGGCGAACUGGAGUGUGGCAGAGGGGGGUGGAAUUCCGCGUGUAGCAGUGAAAUGCGUAGAGAUGCGGAGGAACACCGAUGGCGAAGGGCAGCCCCCCUGGGCUGACACUGACGCUCAGGCACGAAAGCGUGGGGAGCAAACAGG
rnacentral:rRNA from 1 species